AGACAAUUAGUUUAAGAAAAACCCUUGAUUUCGGCUCAAAAGCUUAUGGUUAAAGUCCAUAAUUAUCUA
rnacentral:tRNA from 2 species